GCAAACUUGGUCAUUUAGAGGAAGUAAAAGUCGUAACAAGGUUUCCGUAGGUAAGUUAGAAGCUGUGGACAUCCUAUCUUUCUAUAUUUGAAUAAUGUACUGACUUUCCCCCCUUUAGGUGAACCUGCGGAAGGAUCAUUAUCGAGUGUGACCCCCUCGUAAAAAAAGGGGGUACCUCCCGUCCUUUGCUUUAGGCUCUACCCCCCCAAAACUUUUUUGGUGGGGGCAAAAGCUUUUCAAACCUUCUGCUUCGGUGGGGUUAUACCCACCGGAACAACCUCAAAUUCUCAUUCAAUUGUUCAGUCCGAGAAAAAUUUAUUAAAAAAGCGAAAACUUUCAACAACGGAUCUCUUGGUUCUGGCAUCGAUGAAGAACGCAGC
rnacentral:misc_RNA from 1 species